rnacentral:misc_RNA from 1 species
GAGAAGAACGCAGCGAAAUGCGAUACGUAAUGUGAAUUGCAAAUUCAGUGAAUCAUCGAGUCUUUGAACGCACAUUGCGCCCCCCGGUAUUCCGGGGGGCAUGCCUGUCCGAGCGUCAUUGCUGCCCUCAAGCACGGCUUGUGUGUUGGGCCCCGUCCUCCGAUUCCGGGGGACGGGCCCGAAAGGCAGCGGCGGCACCGCGUCCGGUCCUCGAGCGUAUGGGGCUUUGUCACCCGCUCUGUAGGCCCGGCCGGCGCUUGCCGAUCAACCCAAAUUUUUAUCCAGGUUGACCUCGGAUCAGGUAGGGAUACCCGCUGAACUUAAGCAUAUCAAUAAGCGGAGGA